ensembl:miRNA
AAUAUCAAACCUGUGGGAAAGGUCCAACCUCACAUGUCCUGUAUGUAAUAAAGGGGAUGUAUGUGGUCAGACCUAUCCCACAGGCCCUGUAUUCUU